AUAUUUAAAGGUGGCGGAUUUAACCUAAAGAUUUCUUUAUCGGGGAUCAGGCCCCGAUCAUAGAAAUCUCGGCUUUCUAUUCAUUUCACUCUUCCGUCCAGUCUACGUAGUGAUUUUAGCUGCUUUGCUGUCUUGUUUUUCACUUGUAUGCCUUUACCAUACGUAGGCUUCAGCACACCGGCAUCUGUUCAUUCCAUAUUUCUUCUUAGGUCAUGACGACGACUCGCUCUCAGAGCAGUGUUUGGCUGGUAGGCCAACUGGCUACAGCAGUUACUGGUUCGAAGCUGCCCAGUCGUGGGGAUGUCCUUCGUCGAUUCUUCAACCUGCACAAGGAACAAAAGAAGACGACAGGGGCAAGCGCCGCUGCGGUGGCGAAGGAAGUGCAGGAGUUCUGUGUCUGGGUCCGGAUCCCAACCAUCGCUGAGACAAGCAUCAGCAGGAAAGUCCUCGCUCUCUUCAAUGAAUGGAAGCUCCUCGGAAAGAGCAAGGGGAAUCCAGGAUCUGCACCACACAAGAAACAAAAGGCAUUCGAAGAAAGGCUCCCUGACCUUUUCGACUGCACCCACGCAGAAGCCCUCACCCUGAUGACGAUUGACGAGGACAAAAAGUUCCUCCUUGCGCAGAGGGAGAAAGGGAGACGCGGCUCCAUGGUGGGACUGGACAAGAAGCUAAAGAAAGCUGUCCGUCGGCGUGAGAGGGCAGCUGCCCGUGAACGUUCGCCACCUCUGGAAGUGGGUGCUACAGUGGAGUCUUCCUUGUCCGAGUCCUCAAGUCCUUCCCGUCGGAAUCCCAGCUCGAUUUCAUCUUCUGACGGUGGGGGCGCUUCUCCACCAAAGCGCACGAGAACGAGGGGGACCAAGACCAAAGCCAUCUUUAUAUAAAAGCCUUAGCCUGGCCGCGAAAACCAUCGAUGACGUCACGCGUUGGGUCCGUUGGCUGGCGGUGGCCGGCGCGGGAGGGGGGGGGACAAGGAGCGUCAGUUGCAUUUCAAACAUUGUGGUGGUCGGAUGUACUCGCUCCAACACAGUGACACUCCAUGUACAAGGUAGACUGAAUCUACUGCAAGGCAUCAUGGACCGGUUUCAUACAUAUGCAUCUCUGGUUGGCUGGCAUAAGCAUGAUCCUGUGAGCUAGUGUUACUCCUGGCAACUACUUUUGACUAGUUCUUCCUGUGAAACAGCUGUCUUUCAAAGAUGCCGAGGUCAUGCUGUGUGCCAGGAUGCAAGUCCAACUAUAAAUCUGCAGAUGCCUCUGCGUUCAGUUUCCCUAAAGAUGAACAGCGACGGCAGCAGUGGAUGAGGGCUAUCCACAGGAAAGACUUUACUCCAACAGAAAAUACAAUUGUUUGUUCCAAGCACUUCCAAAACGUUUCAUCAUUACAGAAGACAGUAUGACACGCGCUGAUGGAACUGUAGUAACAGCAAAGAGAGGCAGGCCAUCUCUACAUAAAGAUGCUUGUCCAACCAUCUUUGAAAACCAGCCCAAGUAUAUGUCCAAGGAAAUACCAGCUCCUCGCACCACUCCACAGGAAAGGAGAGACAAGCUAAUUGAACGUGAUGAAAUGGUGUUCAGUGAUUGGAUUGAGAAAGACCAAAUAAACAGCUUUAAAGAAUUUUGUGAAGGAUUUACUGAAAAGCUCUCUAAAGGUUGGCUGCAUCUUUCCAGUGAUGACUAUGUGUCUUUCCUUAGAAUUAACUGCGAUGGCCAACCAAAGCUAACAGUGUCCUUUAAAGUUAUGUCAGAUUUAACAGUUUCAGUGUGGCUUGAAAAUAAUACCUUAAAACCAAGAAAGUUGAAGUGGCUUUUAGGAGAAGCAAAUGCAUGUGAUUUGUGGUCAAAAUUUGAGAAUUUACUUAGUCACCUUAAUCUUGAAUCUGCAUCAACUUUAACUGUCACUGAUAAACUUACUCAGUGUAAAGAAACUAUUGAAGAGAUUUUGGAAACUGACAAUGAUGAAAUGAGCUCCAAAAAGAAAGUGAUGUGGUUCUGUGCUGAACAACUAGGUUUGAUCUGCAAAGAUAGUAUGAAAUA